AGCUCCAAUAGCGUAUAUUAAAGUUGUUGCAGUUAAAAAGCUCGUAGUUGGAUUUCUGGUAGGAUGACUGUGCCCUCAGUAGAGCGUGCGCAGGCGUCUUGCCAUCCUUCUGUUAACCUUUGAGAGCUUCACCGCUCUCUUUGGGGCUCAGAUAUUUUACCUUGAGAAAAUUAGAGUGUUUCAGGCAGGCUAGCGCCGGAAUACAUUAGCAUGGAAUAAUAGAAUAGGACUUUUGCCUCUUCUGUUGGUCAUGGGUUCGAGUAAUGAUUAAUAGGGAUAGUUGGGGGCAUUAGUACUUCACUGUCAGAGGUGAAAUUCUCGGAUUUGUG
rnacentral:rRNA from 1 species